rnacentral:rRNA from 1 species
AGAACGAACGCUGGCGGCAUGCCUAACACAUGCAAGUCGAACGAGACCUUCGGGUCUAGUGGCGCACGGGUGCGUAACGCGUGGGAAUCUGCCCUUGGGUUCGGAAUAACAGUUGGAAACGACUGCUAAUACCGGAUGAUGACGUAAGUCCAAAGAUUUAUCGCCCAGGGAUGAGCCCGCGUAGGAUUAGCUAGUUGGUGAGGUAAAGGCUCACCAAGGCGACGAUCCUUAGCUGGUCUGAGAGGAUGAUCAGCCACACUGGGACUGAGACACGGCCCAGACCUCCGUACGGGAGGCCAGCAGGUGGGGAAUAGUUGGACAAGUGGGACGAAAGCCUGAUCCAGCAAUGCCGCGUGAGUGAUGGAAGGUCCGUUCGGUUAGUAAAGUCCGUUACGUUUUACCCGGGAUGGAAUAAGUAGACCGUAGGUACCGGGAGUAAAUAAGGCCUACCGGUACUAACGUCCCGU